AACUUAUAAUAUGCCUGAGUUGCGAAUUCGUUUUUUUUUAUUGUUUUAUCUUAGAACAAAAUCAGAGGACUACAGUAAAUGUACCAUUAUUCUGGCAUGAUAUUUUUUUUGUCUAAAACAACUUUUUUUGGCUUCAGCACUUUAUAUAUUAGCUAAGGACCACUUCUUAUGCGGCAAAAUCGUCAACUCUACAUUGAAAAACAC
rnacentral:lncRNA from 1 species